GUUAUAUGGUCAAGUGAAGAAGCGCAUACGGUGGAUGCCUUGGCAGUCAGAGGCGAUGAAAGACGUGGUAGCCUGCGAUAAGCUUCGGGGAGUCGGCAAACAGACUUUGAUCCGGAGAUCUCUGAAUGGGGGAACCCAACCAGCACAAGCUGGUUAUCUUGCACUGAAUACAUAGGUGCAAGAGGCGAACCAGGGGAACUGAAACAUCUAAGUACCCUGAGGAAAAGAAAUCAACCGAGAUUCCCUUAGUAGUGGCGAGCGAACGGGGACUAGCCCUUAAG
rnacentral:rRNA from 1 species